UCCUUUCUGGAAGAAGUCGAAUUUGGGUUGCCAAAGACAGCAAGAAGAAAAGGAGUGCAAUCGCCUAAAAUUUCAGGUACAUACAACGAAACUCCUCAUAUAUCCUACUUCAGGGAAGAGCCAACUGGUACAGGCAAGGAAAUAAAAUGAAGACUAGAGAAUUUCUAACUUGAAAAGUGUAAAGUUUGGGAUGGUGUUUGAGCCUACAUGAUGAGAAGACAGUCCUGUAGAUUUACAUUGGCCUUGUGAUGGGUAGACAAACAGAAGGUUUCAAAGGUUACAGAAAGGCGGAGAAAAGAGACAAAGACAAAGGAUGGUAUCUGCAAAGAUCAUUCAUCAUCACUCGGUGCUACAAGCCAAAAGAAGUCAUGAAUAGCAAUUGCCUUUUAUUCCAAAAUGGAUUUGCACACCAGGGUAUUUCAAAUCCCUGAAAAGCCAAGUUGGGACUCAUCUGCUGUAUUCAUCUGCCUGAAAUAAGCCCUAGUAAAAGGCGUACAGAAGUUCUGAGGGUAGUCAUAAAAAACAAAGCCAAGUCCUGAUUUCUGUUUACUGCAGCUUCCUUUCUGCAAGAUGUUGUUGUAAAAGGUUUUACUUCCUUAUUAGACACUGAUAGACUGGAGAAGGAUGUGAAUUAAAAUGGUCUGCUGUCCGUUAAACAUUUUGCAUCUCUACCAUCUUGCUGCAGCAUCUGCUAUGCACAAUGGCAAUAUAUUUCACUUUAAGCAUUUCAGUUACUUAUUCAUAACAUCAAGGCACAUGUUCUACACUAAGAUGAUACACUCCUUUUUGUAAAUAAACCUGCUAUUUUGUCAUUUUUUUAACAGUUCUGCUUAUAAAGAUAUUGACUGCAGAUGAUAAAACAUCUGUUUGGGUAAAUCAGCAAAUGGAAACAUUCCUUCAUGCAUAAUGUAAAAACAAAGUAUAACAUAGAAAUGAUUCCCCACAGAGAAACUGAAUACUCGUAAAGCCUUUUUAAAAUACAUAUGUGUACAAAUUUCCUUUACAUAUUUUCAUACCUACUCAUGAUAAGAAAAUCAUGACAAAUAUUUAGAAACUUCAAAAAAUGGUUCUUUAAGUAUUAUGAUAUAUUACCCAUAACACAACUCUUCAUCUCUGAGCAGUAACUUUAUUUAAGGGUUUGAAUGCUUGAAUUUAGCUGUAUACUUGGCAUACACAGACCAUCAUACCCUAAUCCACUGAUGGUUUUGCUGCAGUAGAACCAUGUUAUUAAACAUACUUGCUACCUACUUGAUACAGUUCAAUUUAACAAGAAGGGCAGUUUAGCUGAUACAGUUCAAUUUAACUAGAAGGGCAGUUUAGCUAACUCAGCAGCAUGUGUAAAUGUUUUCAUUUGUCAAAAUAUAAAAUUAAAA